ensembl:lncRNA
UCUCAACAAAUAUUUUCUGUGUGAAUACUUGGGCAGCUGUGGUCUCAGCACUAUAAUUAUAGGAGUACACAGAACUACUUCUGAGAGAUCUACAGAAGUUGCAGCUCCUCACAAAUAAGAACUAGUAGCCUGUGGCUUUCACACCUUUUCUGCCUAUACUGUUACUAACUGGAAGGAAUGUGGGUAGAGGAGUCUGCAGAUUGACAAAGGUGAAAGGACUCAAGACUGGAAACACUUCAUUGGAAGAAUAAGAUUAAGAGCAAGGAUGUGACUCUAUUACCGCCACAGCUAUCAUGAGCCACUUUCAGAGACUGUCUGCUGAGCAAUUGCUGCUUCUCCAUACUUGUGUAUUUUAUCCAUCCUCCUUUUUCCCUCUUGCCCAGUUUUUGGGGAUUUUGUUUGUGUAUUUGUUUGGCACAGUGAAUGUAUUGUUGCACAUUUUCGUCCUCUGUGUAAAGUAUUUUUUUACAAAGUCAAAUAAUACAAGGCAUGAGCAGGGUCAGACACAACUGGUUCUCAUAUUCAGGUGCAUAGCAUCUGAGUGAUGUAUGUUGUCAUGUAAAUGUUCUAUCUAAUUUUUCAAAACUUUUUCAAUACUUUUAUAUCUAUUAUAAGAUCACAGUAUCAACAUUUUAACUAGAAAUAUGUUGAGCAGAUGGUGCAAAAAUAGAACCAUUAUUAUAUUUUUAAUGAAAAUUUCUGACCCUUAUCUUUCAGUUAUAAUGGGCUGAGGGCCUCUCUGUGGCUGUCCUUGAGCAUAAAAAGCCACAAAAUCUUACUGUAUCUGCUGUCUUAUGAUAUGAAUUAUUGAAAAUCAUGGUCAUGAUAAGAAUUGGUAAUUAUAAAUAUUACAAGUAUCAUUAUGUGGAAGGGAGAUAUUGCUGGUUUUCUUGAUGUAAAGAGAAUGACUUUUAUUUCCAAAGUGGUUAUAAAAAAAAUUAUUUACAACAUCACAUUCAUUAUAAUGUUUCAACAAAGACCUAUGACAAUUAAAAAAAAAAAAAAAACCUAAGAAGUAUAUAAAUUAACCAAAGAUAAGCCCACUAAAGCUAAGGGGAAAAAAAUCACAAUACUUUGGUGUAAUUUCAAAAGUCUUCAAGAUCAAAGGAAUGGAAAAAUAAGCACAUGAAGGAGAUACUGAACUACUAAUUCUUCUCUCCUUUUUUUUUUUUCUCAAAUCUUUCUGUCAGUUCAGCACUUGAAUUGGAUAGAAGUAUUAGUAUUAACUCACUGUUUAUAUUGGAUUAGAACAUUCCUGACUUUUACAGAGUCCAAGGUAAAUAUUUUAAACAGGCCCUUAUCAGAAUCAAUUUUCUUGAUGGCAUUGUUGUUUGUACAUUUUUCUUCAGCUGGCCAAAAUGCAUUUGAUUACCUCCAAUAAAUCCAGGGAGGAACAAAACAUUCUU